AUUGAACGCUGGCGGCAGGCCUAACACAUGCAAGUCGAACGAGUGGCGGACGGGUGAGUAAUGUAUGGGAAACUGCCUGAUGGAGGGGGAUAACUACUGGAAAAGGUAGCUAAUACCGCAUACAAUCAGAUGUGCCCAGAUGGGAUUAGCUAGUUGGGGGGGUAACGGCUCACCAAGGCGACGCUCCCUAGCGUGUCUGCGAGGGUGAUCGGCCACACUGGAACUGAGACACGGUCCAGACUCCUACGUGAGGCAGCAGUGGGGAAUAUUGCACAAUGGGCGAAAGCCUGAUGCAGCCAUGCCGCGUGUAUGAAGAAGGCCUUCGGGUUGUAAAGUUCUUUCAGCGGGGAGGCGUUACCCGCAGAGGAAGCACCGGCUAACUCCGUGCCAGCAGCCGCGGUAAUAC
rnacentral:rRNA from 1 species